rnacentral:rRNA from 1 species
AUGGACCAUUCUCAGGAGAAGGCGAUCUCCUCAGCCAAGACGGCUCCGGAGGCGCCUAUAUCUAGCUCGCCUGUUGACGCGGCCAAGGAUCAGGAGCCCCCAGCUCCACUUCCUGUCAUCCCCAGCUCGCAGGUCUUGGAGAUGGCGCAGCCUCCUCCCUUGGUCGAAUCCCUGUCCCGCGAUCCUUUCGCACCGCCUAACGCCUUGGAGCAGGCCCUUUCCGCACUGGCACGACUUCGGGCUGACCUCCAAGGCACUAACUGCCGACUGGUGGCGGGGCGCCUGGAACUGAUCUCUAGUUGGUUGCACUCCGACGCGUCUGUCAGGGCGGCGCUGAGCCAGACCGUGGCAGCUGCCGAGGAGGACAAGCGGCCUGCUGAACAAGUCGUGGCCGCCCGUGAGGUGGCGCUGAAGGACGCAGAGGCUGCCAAGAAGCGCUGCCGGUCGAUGGAGGCCGAGUUGCAGACCAUGCGCAACAAGCACGCGGCCGAGGCUAGCGGUCGCAGGGUGGAGGAGGAAAAUAUGAAGGCCGGAGAAGACGCCGUCGCCAGUCGUGACGCCGAGCUAGAGCAAUCGGCGAGGGCGCAGGCCGUGGAACGCAGCCGCCUGGAGGAGCUGCAGAAGACGAUGGCGGCAGAGAAGGCCCAGCUAGAGUCCAAGGCGAAGGUUCUGGCUGAGGAUAGUGCGGCCUUCAAGUCCCUUGAGGAGAGAUCCCGCGAGGCGUUGAAAGCACUCUAUGAGAAGGGCUUGGAGAAGCCACUGGCGACGGAUGACAAAGGCCGCGCUCAGCUGCUUCCUUAUCUUGUCAUGGCGCUCGAGGGUGUCGUCGCCGGGAUCGUCCCCAUGGUGGAGGGGGAAGCCCGCGCUCUUUCUUCUUAG